rnacentral:rRNA from 1 species
UAGAGAAGAUAAUGCUAGAAUUAGUAAUAAGAGGGACACACCCCUCUCCUUGCACAAUCGUGAGUCAGAUAGGAUUAACCACUGAAUAAUAACGGACCUACAGGAAGGCAUAGCAAAGACGAGACUAAUAAACAAGAAAACCCUACAGCAACUACCGUCAACCCGACACAGGAGUGCGACCAGGAAAGACUAAAAGGGAGAGAAGGAACUCGGCAAAACUAAAACCCCGCCUGUUUACCAAAAACAUCGCCUCUAGCUAACAAUGAAGUAUUAGAGGUCCCGCCUGCCCUGUGACAGCAGUGUUUAACGGCCGCGGUAUUUUAACCGCGCGAAGGUAGCGUAAUCACUUGUCUUUUAAAUGGAGACCUGUAUGAAUGGCAUAACGAGGGUUUAACUGUCUCCUCCCCCCAGUCAAUGAAAUUGAUCUGCCCGUGCAGAAGCGGGCAUGUGAACAUAAGACGAGAAGACCCUAUGGAGCUUCAAGCAAAUGAUCAAGCGCAAAAAGCCCUACUCCUAGUCAGUGUACGGGAAGGUAAAAGCCAAUGAUCAAAGUGCUUUCGGUUGGGGCGACCAUGGAGGAAAGAAAAGCCUCCACGUGGAAGGGGAAAAACCUUAAACUAAGAAAAACAGCUCUAAGUAACAGAAAUUCUGACCAAAAGUGACCCGAGCUUAGGCCCGAUCAACGAACCGAGUUACCCUAGGGAUAACAGCGCAAUCCUCUCCCAGAGUCCAUAUCGACGAGGGGGUUUACGACCUCGAUGUUGGAUCAGGACAUCCUAUUGGUGCAGCCGCUAUUAAGGGUUCGUUUGUUCAACGAUUAAUAGUCCUACGUGAUCUGAGUUCAGACCGGAGUAAUCCAGGUCGGUUUCUAUCUAUGAACUCUCUAUCUCUAGUACGAAAGGACCGAGAUAGAAGGGCCUACAAAGAAACAAGCCCUAACCCAACCCGCUGAAACCAUAUAAAGCGA